AGCGCGCGCGAGGGGAGGAGAGGAAUGUGCAGGUCCGAGGAGCGCCGCGGCGGCCGCUGCUGCUCCUGCUGCUGGCGGCGGCGGCGGCUCGGGCGGCAGCCGCGGGGCCGGGACGGCGAGGAGCGCGGGCGGCUGGCAGGGGCGCGCGCGGGGCGCCGCGAGCAGCUUGGCUCCGCGCAGGCAGCCAGGCGGCGCUCCUGCCGGCCCCAGGCGCGCCGCUAGCCCGGCCCAGCGCCCAGCCCGGCGGGCGGCGGGCGGCGGCGGGCGAGCCGGCGCAGGAGCAGGAGGAGGGGGAGCCGCGCCGCCAGGGAGGGAAGCCGGGGCGAGGCGAGGAGGUGGCGGGAGGAGGAGACAGCGGGGAAAGGUGUCAGAUAAAGGAGGGCUCUCCUCCGGUUUGGAGGCAUCAUGGCCGCUAAGUCAGACGGGAGGCUGAAAAUGAAGAAGAGCAGCGACGUGGCGUUCACCCCGCUGCAGAACUCGGACCACUCGGGCUCGGUGCAGGGAUUGGCUCCGGGCUUGCCGUCGGGGUCGGGAGCCGAGGACGAGGAGGCGGCCGGGGGCGGCUGCUGCCCGGACGGCGGCGGCUGCUCGCGCUGCUGCUGCUGCUGUGCCGGGAGCGGCGGCUCGGGCGGCGGCUCCGGGGGCUUGGGCGGCCCGGGCGGCGGCGUUGGCGGCCCGGGCGGCAGCGGGGCGGGCUCGGCGGCGCUGUGCCUGCGCCUGGGCAGGGAGCAGCGGCGCUACUCGCUGUGGGACUGCCUCUGGAUCCUGGCCGCCGUGGCCGUGUACUUCGCGGACGUGGGCACGGACAUCUGGCUCGCCGUGGACUACUACUUGCGCGGCCAGCGCUGGUGGUUCGGGCUCACGCUCUUCUUCGUGGUGCUCGGCUCGCUCUCGGUGCAAGUGUUCAGCUUCCGCUGGUUCGUGCACGAUUUCAGCACCGAGGACAGCGCCACGACCGCAGCCGCCUCCAGCUGCCCGCAGCCUGGAGCCGAUUGCAAGACUGUGGCCAGCAGUGGGUCUGCAGCCGCGGAAGGCGAGGCUCGUCCUUCCACGCCGCAAAGGCAAGCGUCCAACGCCAGCAAGAGCAACAUCGCCGCCGCCAACAGCGGCAGCAACAGUAGCGGGGCCACCCGGGCCAGCGGCAAACACAGGUCUGCGUCCUGCUCCUUCUGCAUCUGGCUCCUGCAGUCACUGAUCCACAUCUUGCAGCUCGGGCAGAUCUGGAGAUAUUUCCACACCAUAUACUUAGGUAUUCGAAGCCGGCAGAGUGGGGAGAAUGACAGAUGGAGGUUUUACUGGAAAAUGGUGUAUGAGUAUGCAGAUGUGAGUAUGCUGCAUUUGCUAGCCACCUUUCUGGAAAGUGCUCCACAGCUGGUCCUGCAGCUCUGCAUUAUCGUACAGACUCAUAGCUUACAGGCCCUCCAAGGUUUCACUGCGGCGGCCUCCCUCGUGUCUUUGGCUUGGGCCCUGGCCUCUUACCAGAAGGCCCUCCGGGACUCUCGAGACGACAAGAAGCCCAUCAGCUACAUGGCCGUCGUCAUCCAGUUCUGCUGGCACUUCUUCACCAUUGCCGCCAGAGUCAUCACCUUCGCCCUCUUCGCCUCGGUUUUCCAGCUCUACUUCGGGAUCUUCAUCGUCCUCCACUGGUGCAUCAUGACCUUCUGGAUCGUACACUGUGAGACAGAAUUCUGUAUCACCAAAUGGGAAGAGAUUGUGUUCGACAUGGUGGUGGGGAUCAUCUACAUUUUCAGCUGGUUCAACGUCAAGGAAGGCAGGACUCGCUGUAGGCUCUUCAUUUACUACUUUGUGAUUCUUUUGGAAAAUACAGCCUUGAGUGCCCUCUGGUACCUCUACAAGGCUCCCCAGAUCGCAGACGCGUUUGCCAUCCCGGCGCUGUGUGUGGUGUUCAGCAGCUUUUUAACUGGCGUCGUUUUUAUGCUGAUGUAUUAUGCCUUCUUUCACCCCAACGGACCCAGGUUCGGGCAGUCACCAAGCUGUGCUUGUGAGGACCCAGUCGCCGCCUUCACUCUGCCUCCAGAGGUGGCCACGAGCACGCUCCGGUCCAUCUCCAACAACCGCAGUGUCGCCAGCGACCGCGACCAGAAAUUUGCAGAGCGGGACGGGUGCGUCCCUGUCUUUCAGGUGAGGCCCACGGCCCCGUCCACCCCAUCGUCUCGCCCACCACGGAUUGAAGAAUCUGUCAUUAAAAUUGACCUGUUCAGGAAUAGGUACCCAGCGUGGGAGAGACACGUUUUGGACCGAAGCCUCCGGAAGGCCAUCUUAGCCUUUGAAUGUUCCCCGUCUCCUCCAAGGCUGCAGUACAAAGAUGAUGCCCUUAUUCAGGAGCGGCUGGAGUAUGAAACCACUUUAUAAAAUAGAAGGCUUUGGAGGGGCCACAACCUCCAGGUGAAGGGGUGACAGCGGGGCCGUGGCAAUAAUGAAACUCCGUCCUAGACCAGGGCAGAGAGCUGUAAUGCGCUUAGUGUGACCGCCCAUCAGCUGGCUGCCCUGCUGUGGUCUCCUUUCCAAACAGCAGCUGAAGGGAACAUGGCGGCUUAGUAGGACUUCUCGUUGCUACCAGCCCUCCUGUCCACUCUCAGCGUGUCCACCAGAGGGUACAAUUAUCACGGAAAAUGUUGCCUCCAAUCAAUAGGGUGUUUUGAUGGAGUCAACUGAUCUUUGCAGAAAAAUCUAUUCAGUCACACACACACACACACACGCACACACACACACCUGCUAAUACACACACGGCACCAGUCCUCUGUCAAAACAGCUUAGGUGAUUUUUCUUGAUGCAAAGCUCUGAUUCUGAAUAUAAAAACAGAGAGAGAGAGAGAACAUAUCCCUCAAGACUCCAGGAAAAAAAACACAAAUAGUACCACUUAGAAAAGAAAUCAUAGACCAUUCUCAUUCGGAAACUGACACCAUGUGUGAAAAUCCUACCCAGUGGACAGCAAACUCAACUGUUGUUUACAUGUGUAUUAGAAUCAAUGGAAUGGUUCGUUUUCCACACAUUUCAGGAUUUGUCUUUUAGUUUAAAGUUUCCGUUGAGAACAUCCUUUCUGCCAGAAAUCCUAUGCAGCGCAUCUGUGGCUUUUGACAAGGCCAAGGAGCUCGAGAAGUUCGGGAGGUACACGAAAUGGUGAUCGCGAGUCAGUAUUCAGUUGCAGAAGUGUAAUAAAUCCCUGAAGAGGAAGCACGGGAAAAACAAGGCAAAACGAGCGUCAGAUUUCCCGGCCUGUGCGGCUCACACUGGCAUGUAAGUGCAGGGGCAGAAGAGGGACAGGCUGACCCGGAUGUUACAAGAUGCGGAAAAGCGUGGCUCCGUGUGAGCACGUGCCGGGCCACACCCACCUAGUGCCAAACACCGUCCAACCACAGGACUGACGUGCAAGUCCCAAACACCUGAGAACGAGUGGCCUGAGCCCCCCCCCCCCUACGCCGCCCAAACGCGGACGUGAGAGUGCACCAUCAAGUUCCCCACUGUGUACAGACUUUCCCCACCCCCACCCCCCCAAUCCAAGGUCAAAGUGAUGUGUCUUUUAGAGGCUUUGGGACCCUUUCUAGUAAGUAUGAGCAGACGAUGCAGUGACCAUGCUACGAGAAAACCCUUCCCAACUGAUUGAGGGCUUAUCACUCGAUCCAGCUAAGAUUUGUAUUUGAAUCGUUUGUAAAGUCGCACUCUUACAACAAACUUCUGGGUUUUAAAUACCUCCGUACAGCAAGUAAACGUUCCCUGCUUUCUGUUCCCAGUGUCCUCGGUCAUGGUGCUUUUUGUUGCAUUAAAAGUGCCGGUCAAACUUUGAUAGUAUUUUUUUAUAGUUGGUGCAGAGUGGAAUAACUCAUGGAUUAUUUCAAUAUUUUUGUAAUAAAAAAAUAUAGGGUAUACAUGUAGGCAUCAUCACUUUUUUUAUAGACCUGGAAUCGUUUAAAAUACUUUAAGCGUCAUCAUUCCUUGGGAUGUCCGAAACUGGUCCACAAAUUCCAUCAGCCUGCCUCAGCGGAUUGAGAACACCUGUCUCUUGGAAGAUCACCCUACUUUUCAGUGUUGGUGCCCCCAGGAACCUGGCCAGGGGUGCUAUCAGAAUAUCAGGUGACGAGAGAAUCAGCUUACCUAGAAAGGGCUUGUCAAGACUGGCCAACGUUUCCCAGGAUGUGAAAGCUGUAAAUGAUUACUUUCAUCCAUCCAUUAUCACGAACCUGACCACAGUGGAAGAUGUCUUAAACUUCCUUCCCUGGUUUUAUAUUAACCCAAGUGAUAUAUUAAAUAUUAGUCCAAGUCACUAAAAAGAGAGAGAGAGACAGAGAGAGAGAGAGCGAGAGAGGGGAAAGGUCUGUUUAACUUCAUUGCUCGGUUAUCUGGACUGUCCAAUCCACUUAAAAUAGUCAAGUUCUGGAGCCACCACCUGUAAUGGGUGGGUCAUACAGAGACUGCUGUCCCCGUGACAUCCACAGGAAAUGGCAGAGCGCUCAACCUAGGACUUCUUUUGGUACAAAGCCCCAGAGCAAUGUUUUCAAAAUAGAUGACUUUUUAUCGCUUGACGUGCUUCCCUAGUACUCCAUGAUUUCAUCCUCCAAGCAAGAUUGCCACUAAAAAACAAUGAUCUUUUGUCCAGAUGUGAAAAGUUUACCCGGUCGCCAGCAAAGGCCCAGGAAGACGCUCUUCUUGUCAGUGACUGGUGAAAACAUUGCGCCCCCCCAUCGUGGAAGGAAAACGUGAUUACAUUGGCAAAAACUCUUCAUCUUUGUGCAGGACCAUGAGUUAUUAGCUUCGUUAUUUCCAGGAAGACUUGUAAGUGAUGAUCUUUGGAAACUGAAUGGCUCAGCUGAACUGUACCUUUGAUUUCACGAGUAAAUAACAGAUCACAAUUACAGCGUCAAUCGACACAAACUCAGCAGGCCCCACCACUCCUCAGUCAUAAACAUCUUGGAACUUGUCAAGCUUUACCGAAGGUGAUUUGCGUUAAGUAAUGCAACAGACCCUUUAAUCUUGCAAACUCUUGACUUGUAAUGUUGUAGCCAAGCAAGGGGAAAUUAAUCAGUGAGUCGGAAAGAGCACUUCCUGCCGUGCUGUGCCCAGGCCUGAAGAGAAAGACCUCUGUGAAAGUAGGAGCACUAAGGAAUUCGUGCUAACUGCUGCCUCAUCAUUCAUGCUAUGAAUAUUCAUCCGCUUCAUUUGUUUUUUCCGGGAAGCGCUGCUUUGAAAGAAAGAAAGAAAUUAAGAAAGGUGGUAAAGGAAAAAAGUCAAUGGAUUCCUGGGGCUUGUGUAGCUCGGAGAAUAGGUACUGGGUCACAGAGACUCGUGUUCAAUGGAUACAAAUCUACAUGUGUUUGGAAAUGAAAAAAAAAAAUGUCAUUGUCAUCUCUUUAAUGAUUGAUCUGAGUACAGUGGCCGCCCUUCAUUUGUUGAGGCUACUGUUGUCAGCAGUGUGAAAACCAAUUUCUAAAAAUUGAAUCUGUAAUUCAGUUUCGGAGGUAAAAAUCUGCACGGAUGGAACUAUUCAGUAAUUUGGUUCCUGUCUUCCCUGGGUGGUGACCCGGCAAGUUUCAAACCGAGGCGACUGUGUGGAAUUGGCUCUCCUGCUCCUUCUGAGACCCUGCAACGUCUGGGUUACAAGCUAGAAGAUCGUCAAGUUGAGAUUCUUGAUUGCCUAAGUGUUUGCUUCAAAGUAAACAGGUAAUCUCGCAAUUAAAAAAUCACGGUUCUUUCCCACUUGCUUCUCUGUUUUCCAAGAAAGGUUUGAGCUGUAACGGAAGAAUGAAAUGUACCUCAGAUGGUAGUUCCAGAGUCUGCAUGAGUCGGGCAUCCGUCUGUUCUUAUAAAGUUUCUGUCUGACCUUUUGGUAGAGCAAUUUUAGGAAUGAACCCCAGAUGAAUGAGUGAAAGCCAUCAGAUUUAUCUGAUAAGCACCCUAACGGAAACAUUUUUUAAAAAAGAAGCAAGGAUCCUUUUUCUUGUGUUUCAAGGAUGUGUUUCUCCUUCCUGAGCGAUCAUCUUGGUGACUAUCUCCAAGAUGUACCAAGAGCUACUGAACGAUAGUUUCAGUUAUGGGCUCCAGUAUCGUGCUGAACACGAUGACAAAAGUCAUUUUUCAGAACUAGCUCUUGGCUCAAGCACUGACAUUGAAUGGCAAAAACUGGCCUACCACCGUGUGACUUAUUUUCAAUUGCAAGGCAGUGGAAACUAGUACGUGAAAGAAAAUGUUAAUUUCCUGAACUCCAAAGCCAAAAUGGGCAACAAAGCAACUCUGAAACCUACAAUGAGUUGGUUGACCGUGGGGAACCCGGGAGCAAUAAACAUUCCUCUUAAGCAAGGCUCAUGAGUGAGACUGGCUAUAAGCUGUGUUGGGACAGAAGGUGAUUGAAGAGGACGCCUACCAGUGGCUCAUGAGGAAUAUUUGCCUUUUUAGAGAGCAGAGGUUCAAGGUAGCCCCCUGCUAUUCCAUAACUAUGACGAUAGAUACAUCCAUAUAUGAAGGGCCAAGGCAGAAGACAGAGAAGAUGCCAGGGGCUUCAUGUCUGAGACUAACUCUGUCUCUAAGGGAACAGCUCUCCUUGGUCAUUGGCCCCUAUGCUGCUAACUAGCUCUGCAUGCCAAGAGCUUCUGAUGGAUUACAAGAUGAGAUAUUCAAAGGUAUUGUAAGUACUCUUGCUCGUAGAACACGAACCAUUGAAUUAUCCCUCAUUUCAACAGCAACGAGAUUCAGGGUUACUAUGGCCUUACUCAUCAUCCCAUUGUAAAUACGUCAUGAUGUCACGAGAGCCUCCGUGUUCAAAUUCACUAAAACAGGUUUCCACGUUCCAAGUCUGUGUCUCUAUCCGCAAAUUGGAAACAUAACUUUGGGAGAAUGAUUUUCGGAAUAACGGAAGUGAAAAGAGAGUGGACAGUGAAGCAAUUUCUCACCAUACACGAAACCACUUAGAGUACUGAUAGCCCUAAAGCUCUGAUUUUUUUUUUUCUCAUGACUAAGUUUCCUUUAACUUAGGGGCUUUCGACAUCUGAAUUUUCUGGAUGAUUACUGACACAUCUUCACCAAACUGAAGCAGACACAACGGCAUUGUUAAAAAAUAAAGACUGCCCACAUGAAUGCCAAUAUCCCAAUGAAAAGUGAAGAAGGAGGUCACUCAAGGAGUAAAUUUGGUCUUGGUGAGGUCAAACAUUUGGCUGCUUGGGAAAAUCCAGAUGUUUGAAUGAUACGGUUUUUCAUCUGGUAGUCUGGUGUUGUCUCGAUAGACAGAAAAUGCUCAGGUGUUGUAGGUAAUGACAUUUAACUUUCUUGUUGCAGUAAUCUGUUGCUGGUGAUAUUCUGCUGCUAACAAUCUCUUUGUUGUGCAAAGAGGAAUAAAUAAUGCAGAGCAAAUGCUAUUUGAUUUUUUUAUUUACUUUUGGCACACCCAAGAGUGGAAGAGGUUUGGGAGGCUGUCGUAGGGGAGUGGGGGGGUGGGUAUUCCGAUGUGAUUGAGGCACAGACCUCCCUCACCGAGCCGGUUCUGGAGGCCUGCCACUUGGCUCCUUCCUGCCGAGGAAACUUUUUAUCCAGCUCUUUUCCAUCCUUUUAUACUUGCCCCUCUGCUCUUCAUGUAGGUCUUAAUCGCUCACAAAGUCUACUUGACAGAAGAGUUCAAGGGAAAUACAGAGUCGUUAACUUUUUAUUCUUCAAGUAGGAAGUUUCCAUUGCAAGGACUUCUUAGAUCUUUGAAGCAGAAAAAUCAUUUAAACUACUCAAUGCAGUUAUUUCGUGGUGCAUGUUGCGGUGUGGACAGAAGUAAAAGCUAUUUUUCCCAAAUUAUACAAAAUGCAUACUUGGUUUGGUUUAUUGAUGUCGUUCUGAUUGCCAAGGACUGACUGGUUAUACACAGUGAAAGAGUAGUGCUGUCUUUGUAGUCCCAGAAAACGGAAAAAAAGAGAAAAUGUCAAAGGAAAGUUCACUCUCCAGAAAGAAAGUUUGAGAUAGUGGUAUGACUCUUGUGUUUGUGACUAAUUAGGGACGUUUCCUCCCUUGUUUCAUCUGACUUGGCUCUGGACUAGUGAGUGUGUGUAUUUCAUCAAAUUGGGUGCUUACCUCAUUUUCUAUUCUGAGGCUGGACAGGAAAACAGGCAAGUUAUUCCGACCGAUUUUCUCUUCUGUGAGUUUAUGUUGCAGAACCCGUUCCGAGGCACUGACCGUAAGCAGGCACACAGAGCGCGAUCGAAAGGUCACGAGAGCAUUUCCAGAGAAAAAUCUAAAUGUUUUGUACAUUCUUAGCGUUUUGAUCGCGUCAAAUGCUACCUUUCAGCGCCAACUUAGAACGACUUCGUGGGGUAGGCAUUGCCCAUGUCCUUGUUGGGUCCCUCCUCCCGUCACAUGCAGACGCUUCCGAAAUCAAUUGGAUGCUCCACCUGUGUAGCAAGGGCCUCCAGCCACUGGGUGUCGCUGCUCUGUGCUGACUGUGUUUUGAAAACGCUCCUUCGGAUGGCUGACCCAGUUUGCUAGCCCCCCACCUGUGAAAGCCCUGGCGACCACCGCGCCGCCACUUCCUGUCGCAGGUGUACAAACCAACCCGGUUUGGCUUUGCUUUUCUUUUUCCUUGAGAUUUUUGACUUCACCAGAUCUUUUCCCAAAUCUUUUUACUGUCAUGUUAUCGACAGGAUAUUUAGUUCUGUGUUUCAGUCAACUGGCAACCAAGAGGCGACAAUCAGUUGGCAACUACAGAAAUUUUAGGUGUUUUGGUUUGUUUUGUUUCCAGUUACCUUUUAUUAUGUAAUAAUUGAAUGGAACUUGUGGUUUGGUAGAAAACUAAAAGUCCCUGAGUUGAAUAUAAUGGCUGUUGUAAUUAUACUUAAAUAUAUUCUACGAAACGGUAUCCUUUCACACUAUGGAGUAUACUCCUUUCUGGAGACAAGAAGAUGGAAGGGCCAUGGUCCAGCGGUGGAAACACACACAGGGGCCUAGCAUCUGCGCCCCUUGAGUCCUCAUUCCUGGUCGGUCCCUUCAGCCUCAGAAACUCGCCCACAGCCUCCUUUUUCCCAUAUGUAAACGAGAGAUAAUCUUUAUCUACCUACCUCACAGUGAUUUUGUGAAGAUGCGUUAAGUUGGUAAAGUGCGUCGGCACUUGAGUAGGGGUGUUAGCGCAAAGGAGGCCUGUGCGCAGCCCUGAAACAGGCUACAGGAGGGGAAGUGGAGGCAGCUUAGUAACACGACAGCAAUAAAUCACCAAGCAGAGAGUACGAGUAUUUGUGAUCACUUAGCAGAAGUGAAACUUUUCCUUCAAAGGUCUAUGUAGAACUUUUUUUUUUUUAAUUAUCAGCUUUUUAAUGACAAAAAUUAAUUCCUUUCAUACAAACACUGAGAAGCUUCGUACGGAAGGACGAUUUCCCUCGUAGCCAAGCUGAAUUUUAUGAUAGAGUUAUUAAAUAUAUCCAAAAGACUGGGCUCCUUCUGAUGCCUAAAGAGUUUGCAUGCCUCAUCCCCAAACUACAUUUUCCAGAAUGCCUGCCUGAUACCUGAGUUCAGGACUCACGAUUGCCAAGCGGUGUUCUGGAACCCACUACCAGGAGGGAAAAUUUUUAAUCGGUAUUGAGAUUAGAUUUUGUGUUGUUUCCGGUGAAGUUCUUUUUUGACUCUUAGAUGACACAUCCCUCCCUCUACUACCCAAUAAAAGAAUGUAAAGCCUUA